UCUGAUUUCCUUAAUUGAUCUUUGGUCCUUGAUCCCUAAUGUCGUUAUAUUUUAUUGAUUUUAUAAAUGAUCUCAAACAGGAACAUACCAUUUUUAGGCUACAGUUCCUAUAACUUGCCUUGUCAAUUUGAUAAAAUUACAUGUGUGAUGGAGGUUGUAACUUAUUACAGUUUACAUUGUCAGAAUUCUUCAAACCCUAUGUCGAUCCUCACUAUCUUUGAAACAAUCUGAUUUCUGUGUCAUUGCUAAGCAUAUGUAUAUAUUUGGUGUGCUGGAUUUUCUGAUGUAAGAGGAAGCUAUUCGACAAUCCUGCUCAAGUUGGUAUAGAUUAGAUCGAUUUUAUUCAGUAAAUAUUUAUGCUUGAUAGAUGAAAGCCUCCCUCCUCUGCCCUUCUUUUCUCCAUUCUCUGUAGGUCGCGAGCACAUGUGAAUCGUUGUCGUCAAGAGCAUGCUUGUGACAUCAUUACUAUACGUGAUGCAGCGCAAAAGGAUGUUGUCAGGAGGUACAAACACAUUUAGUCAUUUCCUAUUAUUUUCCUUUCCCGUUUUUGCCGUCAUAUACAAAGUAUCUCCCACUGUAACGCACAUCCAAAUUUGUAUUAUUGAAAGUUUUAAUCAUCCUUGCUGCAGUUAAGUGUUCAACGCAAUCUCUAGCCAAGUUUCCUUUGUUGUUGUGUUGAAUUUUGGGGAAAGGCGGCGAAGCAGCUCGUGGCAUCUGUGUCGCGCCUGCUCCGCCACUGCCUUGACUCGCCGACGACAUCGCCCGUUGGGCUGCAGGGGUGCAAG
rnacentral:lncRNA from 1 species